CCACAUUUAAAAAUCUCUCAUCAUUCAUAAAUUUUUUACUAACUUGAAAUUCUUGCAAUAAAUUACAUAUGUGAACUAGACUUUUGAUAUCCAAUACUCAAGUAGUAGUGUCACAUAUGGAGAAAUUACAAGGUGUUAUCAUAUAAGUACCUUGAUCAGCAACUAAUUGCUCAUUUCUCUUUGGCCUAUUUGGGUCAUAGUCUGCU
rnacentral:lncRNA from 1 species